rnacentral:rRNA from 1 species
GAUGAACGCUGGCGGCGUGCCUAAUACAUGCAAGUCGAGCGAAUGGAUUAAGAGCUUGCUCUUAUGAAGUUAGCGGCGGACGGGUGAGUAACACGUGGGUAACCUGCCCAUAAGACUGGGAUAACUACGGGAAACCUGGGCUAAUACCGGAUAACAUUUUGAACCGCAUGGUUCGAAAUUGAAAGGCGGCUUCGGCUGUCACUUAUGGAUGGACCCGCGUCGCAUUAGCUAGUUGGUGAGGUAACGGCUCACCAAGGCAACGAUGCGUAGCCGACCUGAGAGGGUGAGCGGCCACACUUGGACUGAGACACGGCCCAGACUCCUACGGGAGGCAGCAGUAGGGAAUCUUCCGCAAUGGACGAAAGUCUGACGGAGCAACGCCGCGUGAGUGAUGAAGGCUUUCGGGUCGUAAAACUCUGUUGUUAGGGAAGAACAAGUGCUAGUUGAAUAAGCUGGCACCUUGACGGUACCUAACCAGAAAGCCACGGCUAACUACGUGCCAGCCGCCGCGGUAA